rnacentral:rRNA from 1 species
GAGUUUGAUCGUGGCUCAGAUUGAACGCUGGCGGCAGGCCUAACACAUGCAAGUCGAGCGGAUGACGGGAGCUUGCUCCUUGAUUCAGCGGCGGACGGGUGAGUAAUGCCUAGGAAUCUGCCUGGUAGUGGGGGACAACGUUUCGAAAGGGACGCUAAUACCGCAUACGUCCUACGGGAGAAAGCAGGGGACCUUCGGGCCUUGCGCUAUCAGAUGAGCCUAGGUCGGAUUAGCUAGUUAGUGGGGUAAUGGCUCACCAGGGCGACGAUCCGUAACUGGUCUGAGAGGAUGAUCAGUCACACUGGAACUGAGACACGGUCCAGACUCCUACGGGAGGCAGCAGUGGGGAAUAUUGGACAAUGGGCGAAAGCCUGAUCCAGCCAUGCCGCGUGUGUGAAGAAGGUCUUCGGAUUGUAAAGCACUUUAAGUUGGGAGGAAGGGCAGUAAGUUAAUACCUUGCUGUUUUGACGUUACCGACAGAAUAAGCACCGGCUAACUCUGUGCCAGCAGCCG